CCUACGGGAGGCAGCAGUGAGGAAUAUUGGUCAAUGGGCGGGAGCCUGAACCAGCCAAGUCGCGUGAGGGAAGACGGUCCUAUGGAUUGUAAACCUCUUUAGGCGGGGAGCAAUGCCGGGCACGCGUGCACGGAGGGAGAGUACCCGCAGAAUAAGCAUCGGCGAACUCCGUGCCAGCAGCCGCGGUAAUACGGAGGAUGGGAGCGUUAUCCGGAUUUAUUGGGUUUAAAGGGUGCGUAGGCGGAUUGUGAGGUCAGCGGUAAAAUGACGGGGCUCAACCCGGGCCGGCCGUUGAAACUGGGGAUCUUGAGUGGGCGAGAGGGAUGCGGAAUGCGGGGUGUAGGGGGGAAAUGCAUAGAUA
rnacentral:rRNA from 1 species